rnacentral:rRNA from 1 species
UACGAAGGGGGCUAGCGUUGUUCGGAAUUACUGGGCGUAAAGCGCGCGCAGGCGGAUCAUCAAGUCAGGGGUGAAAGCCCAGAGCUCAACUCUGGAACUGCCUUUGAAACUGGUGAUCUUGAGUACGGGAGGGGUGAGUAGAAUUCCACGUGUAGCGGUGAAAUGCGUAGAGAUGUGGAGGAACACCAGUGGCGAAGGCGGCUCUCUGGUCUGUAACUGACGCUGAGGCGCGAAAGCGUGGGGAGCAAACAGG